AGGACGAACGCUGGCGGCGUGCUUAACACAUGCAAGUCAAGGGGGCCCAGCAAUGGGCAACCGGCGAACGGGUGCGUAACACGUGAGCAACCUACCGAACUGUGGGGGAUAGCCGGCCUAACGGCCGAGUAAUACCGCAUACGCUCUCAGAGAGGCAUUUCUUUGAGAGGAAACCUACGGGACAGAUCGAGGGGCUCGCGGCCUAUCAGCUAGUUGGCGAGGUAACGCUCACCAAGGCAACGACGGGUAGC
rnacentral:rRNA from 1 species